AAUAAGUGUUUUAUGGCACUUUUUAAAUCCAUAUCCACCUUGUGUGCAAUGUCAGUCGAUCUUCUUCAUGGAGAUCGACCAAACAUCAACCUUUAUUUUUUAACUCUUUGUCUGAAAAAUAUUAUGAAUAAACAAUUCAAAAUACAACUUUCAACAACGGAUCUCUUGGCUCU
rnacentral:misc_RNA from 1 species